CGGGAUGUGGUUUAAUGGUAGAAUAUGCGGCUGGGGGCCGUAUGGUCUGAGUCCGAUUCUCAGCAUCCCGA
rfam:Microgenomates (Levybacteria) bacterium GW2011_GWA1_39_34 TT46_C0003, whole genome shotgun sequence.